AUUGAACGCUGGCGGCAGGCUUAACACAUGCAAGUCGAGCGGAGAGAGGUAGCUUGCUACUGAUCUUAGCGGCGGACGGGUGUGUAAUGCUUAGGAAUCUGCCUAUUAGUGGGGGACAACAUUUCGAAAGGAAUGCUAAUACCGCAUACGUCCUACGGGAGAAAGCAGGGGAUCUUCGGACCUUGCGCUAAUAGAUGGGCCUAAGUCGGAUUAGCUAGUUGGUGGGGUAAAGGCCUACCAAGGCGACGAUCUGUAGCGGGUCUGAGAGGAUGAUCCGCCACACUGGGACUGAGACACGGCGCAGACUCCUACGGGAGGCAGCAGUGGGGAAUAUUGGACAAUGGGCGGAAGCCUGAUCCAGCCAUGCCGCGUGUGUGAAGAAGGCCUUAUGGUUGUAAAGCACUUUAAGCGAGGAGGAGGCUACUUUAGUUAAUACCUAGAGAUAGUGGACGUUACUCGCAGAAUAAGCACCGGCUAACUCUGUGCCAGCAGCCGCGGUAA
rnacentral:rRNA from 1 species